ensembl:misc_RNA 7SK 7SK RNA
GGAUAGUGAGGGCCAUCUGGCUGUGACAUUUGUCACCUCGCUGAUUGCCAGCCAUUGAUUGGCUGAUCUCGCUGGCUAGGCAGCUGUCCCUUUAUCCCUCACCACUCCAUGUUCUUCCCCCGCAAAGCUGCACACUUGGUCAAGGAGGACAACCUUUCCCAACGCAGGAGGACCAUUCUUUGGUCAAGUGUGUGUGAGUAGCUAUGCUCCUCUGCACAAACCUCCAGACAAGCUCUCCAGGAGCUCCUCACAACAGCAGUGGAGAAUCAGCAGCUAAGAACACGGGUUCUGGGUUCAAAUCCCGCUGCAACUCUU